GGUUUCCAGUGCAGGUCUAGGCCAUUGUAAUACAGUAUAAUGUGACUUUGACAGGGACAUAUGGCGGGGUGUGGGAGCCAGAGGAGAGACAGGCACCUCACUCAGACUGAGAUGGUCAGAGAAGGCCUCCUGGAAGCGGUGACAGAUAACAUCGAAGCUGAAACCUAAAGGUUGCAUGGGAGUCAGUCAGGUGAAGGAGGUGGGAGGGGAGGGUUUAGAAUAUUCCAGGCAGGAUUAUCAGCAUACAGGGAAGCCCAGAGGCAUAAGAAAGCCUAUCAGGGAACGACAGGAAGCUCUGAAGCUCUGGGUGUGGCUGCAGUGCAAGGUGGUCGUGGCAUGGGGACUAACCAACUGGAAGGCUGGACGAGCCUAUGGGGAGAGGUUACCUAAGGCUUUCCUGGCCCAGCAGGAGAAGAGAUUCCAGGAAACCAAUAAAGGGUUUAAGCAAGAGAGUGAGGAAAUCGGACUGUAUUUCUUCUUGUCUCCUAGGGGAGCGGGUUUCAAACUGGGAGUCCUAAAAUCAAUUUAGAAGGUUUCGACCAGCAUUAAAUAAAACGAAAUGGAAUAGAAAAUAUGAGAACUCAGAAUACACAGUAAAUGUUAAGUAUUGUUUUGUAAAACAUUUCUAUUUUUUUUUUGUUUGUUUUUGAUAAAAAUAUGUGUACUGGGUCACUAUAUUAAAGAGAUUUGGCCGCUGAUGGCAGCAGCAAACAUCUGAAAGCCACUGCCCCACCUGAAAUGUGUCCCAUAGUUGGUGAGUCGUAAAUGUGGAAUGGCUGACUGAGAAGGCUGAGGGAGCCGGCGCCUGCUGGGUGGAAAGGCUGAUGCCGACGCUGGCCGACUGCCACCCCAGCUCCCCACCCUGAGGCCCAGCUAGUGGAAAUGCUCACACUAAUGAUGGCCUGCUGCGCGUCGUUGUUAUGGACAAUCUUCGCUCUCUCCAGGGCCUUCUCAAAGUUGCUAACGGCUGACUCAAAGUCUUUCAGCUUCACUGGAGAGCAAGGAGAGAAGGCACAGGUAGAUGGCGACACUGUGCUGCACGAUGCAGCUGCCUCACAGCCACCCAGCCACUCCCCGAGACAGGGGCACCAUCACUGAGCCACUCUGCACCGCCCUUUCCGUAUUCCUGGGCCUACCUACCACCGAGGACCUGAAGCUGGGAACCUGAACCUUGGAUUUCAGGCCAGAGGAAGGGACACAAGAGGCCAUUCAGGAACCCAGAUGACACAUAGCAGAAGGCUGCUGGUGAACAUAGAACAAGUCCGUGUCAAUCAAGGAGUGGGGACCUGAAGGACAACUUCUCUCCUGGCUAAACAUCAGGGAGCUAAGCAAAUGGGCCCGAGGAGCUGGCUCUCCUGGAGCCAGCCGGUCUCCCAGUCAGGGUCUUACCGCCGAGUCUCCCUGGGGCUGAGCCCAUCCCACUCUAGCAGUAAACCAGCCCAGGGCUGGACAUCAAAAGUCUGGCAGUUGGGCUAUUUGGAGAGCUCUGGCACAGUUGUCAGUGGCCCCGCAUGACCACCGAGAGUCCGAGACUAGGCUCAAAAGGCCAAUUGGUCCACCAGUUCCUGAAAUUGCCCAGCGGUAAGAAUCACCUGGACUGCUUGUUAAGUUCCUGAGCUCUAACCCAGACCUGAAGAAUCAGAAGUUCCCAGGGAGAGGCCCAGUAAUUCAUGCAUUUGUUAAGUGCUCCCGGUGAUUCGUAUCACUGGGAAAGCUUAAAAUGCUGAUCCUAUUCCAACAAUUUAAUUCAUGAGCCCCAGAUUAAAAACUGACUUGCCCAUGAUCUCAUACACAGAAAACCUUAAGGGAUCCUCAAGAAAACUACUGAAACUAAUAGAAGAGUUCAGCAGAGUGUCAGGACACAAGAUAAACAUACAAAGAUCAGUUGGAUUCCUCUACACCAACAAAAAGAACAUCGAAGAGGAAAUCACCAAAUCAAUGCCAUUUACAGUAGCCCCCAAGAAGAUAAAAUACUUAGGAAUAAAUCUUACCAGAGAUGUAAAAGACUUAUACAAAGAAAACUACAAAACACUUCUGCAAGAAACCAAAAGAGACUUACAUAAGUGGAAAAACAUACCUCGCUCACGGAUAGGAAGACAACAUUAUAAAAAUGCCUAUUCCACUAAAAGCGAUCUAUACAUUAAAUGCAAUUCCGAUUCAAAUUCCAACGACAUUCUUUAAUGAGAUGCAGAAACAAAUCACCAACUUCAUGUGGAAGGGUAAGAGGCCCCGGAUAAACAAGGCAUUACCGAAAAAGAAGAACAAAGUGGGAGGCCUUACUCUACCUGAUUUUAGAGCCUAUUAUACCACCACAGUAGUCAAAACAGCCUGGUACUGGUACAACAACACAUACAUGGACCAAUGGAACAGAAUUGAGAAUCCAGACAUAAAUCCAUCCAUAUAUGAGCAGUUGAUGUUUGACAAAGGCCCCAAAACAGUUAAAUGGGGAAAAGACAAUCUUUUUAACAAACAGUGCGGGCAUAACUGGAUAUCCAUCUGCAAAAAAAUGAAACAAGACCCAUACCUCACUCCAUGCACAAAAACAAGCUCAAAAUGGAUCAAAGACCUAAAUAUAAAAUCUAAAACGAUAAAGAUCAUGGAAGAAAAAAUAACGAGCAUGUUAGGAGCCCAAAUACAUGGCAUAAACUGUAUACAAAACAUUACUAACAAUGCAGAAGAAAAACUAGAUAACUGGGAGCUCCUAAAAAUCAAACACCUAUGCUCAUCCAAAGACUUCACCAAAAGAGUAAAAAGACUACCCACAGACUGGGAAAAAGUUUUUAGCUAUGACAUUUCUGAUUAGCGCCUGAUCUCUAAAAUCUACAUGAUACUGCAAAAACUCAACUGCAAAAAGACAAAUAACCCAAUUAAAAAAUGGGCAAAAGAUACAAAUAUACACUUCACUAAAGAAAACAUUCAGGUAGCUAACAGAUAUAUGAGGAAAUGUUCACAAUCAUUUGCCAUUAGGGAAAUGCAGAUCAAAACUACAAUGAGAUUUCAUCUCACUCCAACAAGGCUGGCAUUAAUCCAAAAAACACAAAAUAAUAAAUGUUGGACAGGCUGUGGAGAGAUUGGAACACUUCUACACUGCUGGUGGGAAUGUCAAAUGGUACAACCACUUUGGAAAUUAAUUUGGCGUUUCCUUACAAAGCUAGAAAUAGAACUACCAUAUGAUCCAGCAAUCCCACUCCUUGGAAUAUAUCCUAGAGAAAUAAGAGCCUUUACACGAACAGAUACAUGCACGCCCAUGUUCGUUGCAGCACUGUUUACAAUAGCAAAAAGAUGGAAGCAACCAUGGUGCCCAUCAACGGAUGAAUGGAUAAAUAAAUUAUGGUAUAUUCACACAAUGGAAUACUAUGCAUCGAUAAAGAACAGUGAUGAAUCUGUGAAACAUUUCAUAACAUGGAGGAAUCUGGAUGGCAUUAUGCUGAGUGAAAUUAGUUGCAAAAGGACAAAUAUAAGACCACUAUUAUAAGAACUCAAGAAAUAGUUUAAACAGAUAAGAAAAUAUUCUUUGAUGCUUAUGAGACGUGUGAGGGAUGGAGGAUGGGGGGAUAUUCACUAGUUAGAUACUAGGUAGGAACUACUUUGGGUGAUGGGAAAGAAAACACACAAUACAGGCGAGGUCAGCACAACUGGACCAAACUAAAAGCGAAGAAGUUUCUGGAGUAAACUGAUGCUUUGAAGGCCAGCAUAGCAGGGACGGGGGUUUGGGGACCAUAUUUUCAGGGGACACCUAAGUCAACUGGCAUAAUAAAAUCUAUUAAGAAAACAUUCUGCAUCCCACCUUGGAGGGAGCUAUUUGGGGUCUUAAACGCUAGCAAGCGGCCAUCUAAGAUGCAUCAAUUGGUCUCAACCCACCUGUAUCAAAGGAGAACGAAAAACACCAAGGAUACAAGGUAAUUAUGAGCCCAAGAGACAGAAAGGGCCACAUAAACCAGAGACUAUAUCAGCCUGAGACCAGAAGAGCUAGAUGGUGUCUGGCUACAACCGAUGACUACCCUGGCAGGGACCACAACAGAGAACCCCUAAGGGAGCAGGGGAGCAGUGGGAUGCAGACCCCAAAUUCUCAUAAAAAGACCAGACUUAAUGGUCUGACUAAGACUAGAAGGACCCCGGAGGUCAUGGUCCCCAGACCUUCUGUUAGCCCAAGACAGGAACCAUUCCCAAAGCCAACUCUUCAGACAGGGAUUGGACUGGACAAUGGGUUGGAGAGGGAUGCUGGUGAGGAGUGAGCUUCUUGGAUCAGGUGGACACUUGAGACUAUGUUGACAUCUCCUGCCUGGAGGGGAGAUGAGAAGGUAGAGGGGGUUAGAAGCUGGUGAAAUGGACACGAAAAGAGAGAGUGGAGGGAGGGAGUGGGCUGUCUCAUUAGGCGGAGAGCAACUGGGAGUAUGUAGCAAGGUGUAUAUAAGUUUUUGUGUGAGAGACUGACUUGAUUUGUAGACUUUCACUUAAAGCACAAUAAAAAUUAAAAAAAAAAAAAAGUAAAUGGUGCCAUGGAACGGCAACUAUGUCUUCACUCAUACAGUAUCUGUGCCUGGAUUAGCCAAAUAAAAACCACAAUGGCUGUAAAAAAAAAAAAAAAAAAAAACUGACUUGCCCACGAUUUUCUGGCAGAGGCAGAGCCAGGAGCCAAAGCCAGGUCUUCCAAUGCCUCUUUGCCUGGCAUCUUGGCCCCAGGCUGUAAGCCCACUGUGGAGCUGGAAGUGCUGGUCCCAUGGUGGGGUGGGAGGCAGUCCUUGGUCACUCACGUGUCAAUGGCUUGCUGGAAUUUCCCAACUCUAGCAAAAACCCUGCCGAUAUUGUCGAGGGCUCUGGAUUUGGCAUCAGGAAGGUCACUGCGGGGAAGAAGCAAAAUAAAUUGUUCACUAGAAAUUGGCUGUUCUUGGCACCAUGGAAAGAGAAAAGAAGGCAAAGACGGGCCCUGGCCUGCAGAAUCCAUUUGGAGGGACAAUGCCUGUGCAAGGCUGUGGCACACAGGACCCUCAUGCCCUGUGGCUGGGAAUGAAUUUAUUGGGACCUUUCUGGAGGGUAAUCGAUAAAAAUGUCACUUUGAUUCUGUGAUUCUCCUUCUAGGAAUUUACCUCAAGAAAAUAAUGUGACAAGAACAUCUGUUAAAGUGCUGUUCAUAAGAAUGAAAAUUAGAAACAACCUAAACGUUAUCAAAGCCCUAGCAAUGACAAUUUUUGUGUAUGAAAAAAUAUCCAUGAUAUAAACUCAUGGUGACCCUAUAGGACAGGGUAGGACUCCCCAUGGGAUUUCCAAGACUGUAAAUCUUUAUGGAAGCAGACUGCUACAUCUUUGUCCCACGGAGCAGCUGGUAGGUUCAAACUGCUGACCCUUCAGUUACCAGCCGAGCACUUAACCAGUGUACCACCAGGGCUCCUUUAUCCAUGAUAUAUUAAGAUGAAGAUCAGACAACCAGACAGUAUAUGAUGUAUACUGUCUGUCAUGGAUUGAAUUGUGUCUCCCAGAAAUAUGUUAUCAAUUUGGUUAAGCCACCAUUUACAGUAUUGUGUGACUGUCCACCAUUUUGUCAUCUGAUGUGAUUUUCCUAUGUGUUGUAAAUCCUACCUCUAUGAUGUUGAUGAGAUGGGAUUAGUGGCAGUUAUAUUAAUGAGGCAGAACUCAAUCUACAAAUUUGGAUUGUGUCUUGAGCCAACCUCUUUAUCCCUUUGAAAAGAGAAGCGAGCAGAGAGAGACAGGGACCUCAUACCACCAAGAAAGAAGUGCCAGGAGAAGAGCACAUCCUUUGCACCCGGGGUCUCUGUGCUGAGAAGCAACUAGUCCAGGGGAAGAUUAAUGACAAGGGCCUUCUUCCAGAGCCGACAGAGAGAGAAAGCCUUCCCCUGGAGCUGACGCCCUGAAUUUGGACUUCUGUCUAUCAGACUGUGAGAGAAUAAAUUUCUCUUCGUUAAAGCCAUCCACUUGUAUUUCUGUUACAGCAGCACUAGAUAACCAAGAUACUGUCCCAUUUAUGUUAAAAAUAAACCCCUGAAACUAUUGUCUUGAGAUAAUCUUUAAACCUUAAACCAAAAAUAUCCCCUGAAGUCAGUCUUCUUAAAACUAAAGUGUUGUUGUUGUUGUUGUUAGAUGCCAUCGAGUCAAUUCCAACUCAUAGCAAUCCCUAUGUACAACAGAACAAAACAUUGCCUGGUCCUGAGCCAUCCUUACAAUCGUUAUGCUCAAGCCCAUUGUUGCAGCCACUGUGUCGAUCCAUCUCAUUGAGGGUCUUCCUCUUUUUCAAUGACCCUCUACCAAGCCUGAUGUCCUUCUUCAGGGACAGAUCCCUCCUGCUAACAUGUCCAAAGUAUGUGAGAUGAAGUCUUGCCGUCCUGGCUUCUAAGAAGCAUUCUGGCUGUACUUCUUCCAAGACAGAUUUGUUCAUUCUUCUGGCAGUCCAUGGUAUAUUCAAUAUUCUUUGUCAACACCAUAAUUCAAAGGCAUCAAUUCUUCUUCGGUCUUCUUUACUCAUUGUCCAGCUUUUGCAUGCAUAUGAAGUGACUGAAAAACCAUGGCUUGGGUGAGGCAUAUCUCAGUCCUCAAAAUGACAUUUUUGCUGGCUCCCGAAAACCCUUUUAAUUCACUACUUAAGCUACUCCUAAGGUUUACCCUUCAGCCAAAGAUUAGGCAGCCCCACAAAGCAAAACGAGACUAAAUGGGCACACCAGCCCAAGGGCAAGGACGAGAAAGCAGGAGGGAACAGGAAAGCCGGAAGAACGGAAACGGGGAACCCAAGGUCAAGAAGGGGAGAGUGUUGACAUGUCACGGGGCUGGCAACCAAUGUCAUAAAACAGUAUGUGUAUUAAUUGUUUAACGAGAAACUAAUUUGCUCUGUAAAUCUUCAUCUAAAGCACACACAAAAAAAUGACAUUCUUGCUUUUUCAUACUUUAAAGAGGUCUUUUGCAGCAUGUUUGCCCAAUGCAAUGUGUUGUUUGACUUCUUGACUGCUGCUUCCAUGGGCGUUGAUUGUAAAUCCAAGAAAAAUGAAAUCCUUGACAACUUUUCUCAGUUUAUCGUGAUGUUGCUUAAUGGUCCAGUUGUGAGAAUUUUUGUUUUCUUUAUGUUCAGGUGUAAUCCAUAUCGAAGGUUGUAGUC